rnacentral:rRNA from 1 species
GAUGAACGCUGGCGGGGGGCUAAACAAAUGCAAGUCGAACGAUGAAGCCCAGCUUGCGGGGUGGUUUAGUGGCGAACGGGUGAGUAACACGUGAGUAACCUGCCCUUGACUCUGGGUUAAGCCGGGGAAACUGGGUCUAAUACUGGAUAUGACUUCUCAUCGCUGGGUGGGGGGUGGAAAGAUUUAUUGGUCUUGGAUGGACUCGCGGCCUAUCAGCUUGUUGGUGAGGUAAUGGCUCACCAAGGCGACGACGGGUAGCCGGCCUGAGAGGGUGACCGGCCACACUGGGACUGAGACACGGCCCAGACUCCUACGGGAGGCAGCAGUGGGGAAUAUUGCACAAUGGGCGCAAGCCUGAUGCAGCGACGCCGCGUGAGGGAUGACGGCCUUCGGGUUGUAAACCUCUUUCAGUAGGGAAGAAGCGAGAGUGACGGUACCUGCAGAAGAAGCGCCGGCUAACUACGUG